rfam:Camelus ferus unplaced genomic scaffold scaffold811, whole genome shotgun sequence.
GAGAGUAUAGCUCAGUGGUAGAGCGCAUGCCCAGCAUGCACAAGGUCCUGGGUUCAAUCCCCAGUACCUCCA